CUCAGGAAAAAAGUCCUUAAUUUCAUCCCUACGUGGUGGAAUUUAUGACUCAAACCAAACCCAACAUUCUGUUUCUGAUUGCUUUUUUUCAACAAUGACUCUUUGGAGCUAUGUGUUUAAAAGGAUAGAAGUUCUAGCCUAAGACACAUACCAAAGGAAGGUGAAAGCAAGCUGUUCAGCAAUCACCAGGGGUCGACUCUAGUUCUGAAGCCCAGCCACUGGACAGAGAGGUGUGGAAGGAAAUGAAAUUCACAUUCCUGAAAUGAAGAAAGGCCAAUUCAUCUCCACCUUUACCCUCUUCUGCCGGAAGGCAGGAGCCACGCCCAGCCUCUUAGGUAAUCAAACUGAGCACCUGGAUAAAGAAACCCCACCUCCCACGGUGCUGAUAAGGACCGGAAAUUGGCUUGUCAAAGUGACGCAGGAAAAUGGAGCCGGCAGUGCAAAGGUGAACUCUAACAGCCGGUGAAGUUACAAGGAACAGAUUUUAGUAGAAGCAUUAUUGGCCCCUUUU
rnacentral:lncRNA from 1 species